GCAUUCUUAGCUCAGUUGGAUAGAGCAACAACCUUCUAAGUUGAAGGUCACAGGUUCAAAUCCUGUAGAAUGCU
rnacentral:tRNA from 3 species